rnacentral:rRNA from 1 species
CCUACGGGAGGCAGCAGUGGGGAAUAUUGCACAAUGGGGGAAACCCUGAUGCAGCGACGCCGCGUGAGUGAAGAAGUAUCUCGGUAUGUUAAGCUCUAUCAGUAGGGAAGAAAUAUAGUCCUUUAGACCUUGAACGGUACCUGACUAAGAAGCCCCGGCUAACUACGUGCCAGCAGCCGCGGUAAUACGGAGGGGGCAGGCGUUAUCCGGAUUUACUGGGGGUAAAGGGAGCUUAGACGGCAGCGUAAGUCUGGAGUGAAAUGCCCUGGCUUAACCAUCGAACUGCUGUGGAAACUGUGCAGCUAGAGUGAUGGAGAGGGAAGCGGAAUUCGCAGUGUAGCGGUGAAAUGCGUAGAUAUUGGGAGGAACACUCGUGGCGAAGGCGGCUUACUGGACUGUAACUGACGCUGAGGCACGAAAGCGUGGGGAGCGAACAGGAUUAGAUACCCCUGUAGUC